UGGUGGGCUGCAGAACAUGUG
rnacentral:miRNA from 8 species